AUUGAACGCUGGCGGAAUGCUUUACACAUGCAAGUCGAACGGCAGCACGGACUUCGGUCUGGUGGCGAGUGGCGAACGGGUGAGUAAUGUAUCGGAACGUGCCCAGUCGUGGGGGAUAACGUAGUGAAAAUUACGCUAAUACCGCAUACGAUCUAUGGAUGAAAGCGGGGGAUCGCAAGACCUCGCGCGAUUGGAGCGGCCGAUAUAAGAUUAGGUAGUUGGUGGGGUAAAGGCCCACCAAGCUAACGAUCUGUAGCUGGUCUGAGAGGACUACUAGCCACACUGGAACUUAGACACGGUCCAGACUCCUACGGGAGGCAGCAGUGGGGAAUUUUGGACAAUGGGCGAAAGCCUGAUCCAGCCAUUCCGCGUGCAGGAUGAAGGCCCUCGGGUUGUAAACUGCUUUUGUACAGAACGAAAAGGUUUCUACUAAUACUAGGAGCUCAUGACGGUACUGUAAGAAUAAGCACCGGCUAACUACGUGCCAGCAGCCGCCGUAA
rnacentral:rRNA from 1 species